UAUCGCGGGGCGCGAGGCCCGCCCGCGCGGCUCGGGGCGGUGCUGAGGCGGGCGGGCGCUGAGGCGGCCGUUUCCUGUCCUGGUGCAUGGUGGUCGGACGGAGGAAUUGUUGGAAAAUUUCUCGGCGAGGUAGACAAUGUUAUUAGCUCAGAUAAAUCGAGACUCUCAGGGAAUGACUGAAUUUUCUGGAGGAGGAAUGGAGGCCCAGCAUGUGACUCUCUGUCUAACAGAAGCUGUAGCUGUGCAAGGUGAACCUUCAGAUGGUGACAACUUAGAAAACAUGGAAGGUGUGAGUUUGCAAGCAGUUACCCUGGCUGAUGGCUCCACAGCUUACAUACAGCACAAUUCUAAAGAUGGCAAAUUAAUGGAUGGCCAAGUGAUUCAAUUAGAAGAUGGUUCUGCUGCUUAUGUUCAACAUGUACCCAUGUCUAAAAGUAGGGACAGCUUGCGUCUGGAAGAUGGACAAGCAGUUCAGCUGGAGGAUGGAACUACAGCAUUUAUUCAUCACACCUCGAAAGACAGUUAUGACCAGAGUGCAUUACAAGCAGUCCAGCUGGAGGAUGGAACUACUGCCUACAUUCACCACACGGUGCAGAUGCCACAGUCAGAUACUAUUUUAGCCAUUCAAGCUGAUGGCACGGUGGCAGGUCUUCAUACAGGAGAUGCUGCCAUUGACCCAGAUACCAUCAGUGCUUUGGAGCAAUAUGCAGCCAAGGUGUCUAUUGAUGGAAAUGACAGUGUUAGUGGCACAGGAAUGAUAGGCGAAAAUGAACAAGAUAAAAAAAUGCAGAUUGUCUUGCAAGGACAUGGAACCAGAGUGACUGCAAAAUCUCAGCAGAGUGGAGAGAAAGCCUUUCGCUGUGAUUACGAUGGCUGUGGAAAACUGUACACAACAGCUCACCAUCUUAAGGUGCAUGAAAGGUCACACACAGGCGACAGACCAUAUCAGUGUGAACAUCCUGGAUGUGGCAAAGCCUUUGCAACAGGCUAUGGGUUAAAAAGUCAUGUCCGAACACACACUGGUGAAAAGCCUUAUCGGUGCACAGAAGAAAAUUGCACUAAAUCAUUCAAGACUUCAGGAGACCUGCAGAAACAUAUCAGAACCCACACAGGUGAAAGGCCCUUUAAGUGUCCCUUUGAAGGAUGUGGCAGGUCAUUCACAACAUCUAAUAUUAGAAAGGUUCACAUCAGGACACAUACAGGCGAAAGGCCUUAUUACUGCACAGAGCCAGGAUGUGGGAGAGCUUUUGCCAGUGCAACUAAUUAUAAGAAUCAUGUGAGAAUACACACAGGGGAGAAGCCCUAUGUCUGUACAGUUCCUGGUUGUGAUAAACGUUUUACAGAGUAUUCCAGUUUAUACAAACAUCAUGUUGUACAUACUCAUUCCAAACCAUAUAACUGUAAUCACUGUGGGAAAACAUACAAGCAGAUUUCUACACUUGCUAUGCACAAGCGGACAGCACACAAUGACACAGAGCCCAUUGAAGAAGAACAAGAGGCUUUUUUUGAGCCACCUCCAGGUCAAGGUGAAGAUGUUCUCAAAGGCUCCCAGAUAACCUAUGUGACAGGUGUAGAGGGAGAAGAUGUAAUUUCUGCACAGGUUGCUACAGUUACUCAGUCAGGAUUAGGUCAACAAGUAGCACUAAUAUCCCAGGAUGGAACCCAACAUGUCAACAUAUCACAGGCAGAUAUGCAGGCUAUUGGCAAUACUAUCACUAUGGUAACACAAGAUGGCACCACCAUCACAGUCCCUGCCCACGAUGCUGUCAUCUCUUCUGCAGGAACGCAUUCCGUAGCAAUGGUUACUGCAGAAGGCACCGAAGGACAACAGGUUGCCAUUGUGGCUCAAGACUUAGCAGCAUUUCAUAGUGCCUCAUCAGAAAUGGGACACCAGCAACAUGGGCACCACUUAGUGACUACAGAAAGUAGACCUGUUACAUUGUUGGCUACAUCCAAUGGGACACAAAUUGCAGUACAGCUUGGAGAACAACAGUCUCUGGAAGAAGCCAUUAGAAUAGCCUCCAGAAUACAACAGGGUGAAACACCAGGGAUUGAUGAUUAACUUCUAAAACUGCUACCAGAACAAUAGAGUGAAAGUUCUGAGUGCCUGCUGCUACCAUUCAGUACCUAGGAUAUGCUGAUAAUCAGUGCUUUUGAAAAUCAGGACACAAGUUACUAGAAAAAAGGGAUUAAUUAAUGGUGAUUUUCUGGAAACGGUGGCUGGAGCGGUGGCUUUGACUUAGCAAAGAAAUAACUUCAGUUCUUACUUCUUCUCAUUUCCCAGGACAUUUUCUGACCACUGUAAAAAUAGUGGAGAGACCAGCAUGAUUUUCUGCCCUGCUUCCAUUUGAACUGAGUGGAAGGAGCUGCUGCUUUGGUAAGCUGAUGCUGCAUGUUGGUGUCAGAAGGACAUGUAGUGGAGAUUAGACAGGACAAAAUUGGGUUAGAUAGGAACAUUGGUGUAAAGGAUUUCAGGAGGGGGAAACAAAAAAUAUGACAAAAAGGAUUGGGCAUUUGGCAGUAGAAAUCUCUAUCCUUUCCCCAUAGAUUUUACUCUUCUUUUUGAAAGUUCUGUCUCAAAGGGAAUGCUUUGGCACACUAGAAGGAAAUACUUUGUAAAAGAGGAAUCCUACAAAGCAACUCAGUCUAUCACUUCCUUUUACAAAUUGGCUCCCUUUCCAGUAUUCCCAGUCACAAUUUUUCUUUCAGAUCUGAAUUCCAGGCCUACACCAACUCCUCCCUUAAAGGAAUAAACCCAAAACCUCUCUAGACUUCACUGUCAACUUUUCCCUUUUAAAUAUUUCCACAGUUUUUCACCACUGUGGGCUUUGCUUUUUUUGACUAUAGUUCAAUGCCUCUCCUGAUAGUAAACAGAGACAGGCAAUUAUUUUCGAUGCUCCAGGCUGAUGACCUAUUGUGCCAGACACACUAUGCAUAACAAUAGGACGGUUUUUACCCUAAAGAGCUAAUGCCAAAGCACACAUGAAUGGGCUGACGCUGGAAUGGUGUGUUUUUAUAAGAGUAAAUCCUGAAGCCCGACUGCAAAGUUGUAAACAGCUGUAAUCCCUGAUAGUAUAAUUAAUCUCAGCAACGGAUCAGCUGACCGAUACCAGAGAUACUCGGGCACAGUGUGGGAGAAAAGGCAUGUGGUGUCUGCUUAGCACACAAGAGGAGGACAGAGCUGAUAGUCCAGAUAAACAAAAUGUCUGAGCUUGGAAGGCAGUUCUUCCUAAACUUUAGUUCCUAACCCUAAUAACCCCUCAAAUACUGCGGGGAGUAAUUUGUUUGACUGGAUGCACUGAUUUCUGUGAUGAUCGUGCUAUACUAGAAUGCAGAAAAAUCACUCUGCAUGCUGUGUACUUCUCAGAGUGCCGAGAGUCAGGGAGCCUACCCCAGGGUCAAGAAGGUAUUUUGUCGGUAUUUAGCUCCCAAGAAAAGAUGGCAUGGAGUAAGGAUGUGAUGAAGAGUGUUUCUGAAUCUGGCAACUUCAGCACAUAUUGAGCACCUGUUGAGGUUAGUCAGACUGCACACUUUAGGUUGACCAUAGCUUCUGCUUAGCAAGAUGCAGAAAUGGCCUUUAACAAACCUAUUCCAGUCACUCUCAGUUUGUCAUUGAAUGAAAACAAUUAAAUGUUCUGUAAAAUAUUCUGUGUCAUUUUCAAAUAUAGCACAAAUGAAAUGUCACUAAUAGUUGGGUGGGAAGCAAACUGAUUUUCUUAAGUAGUAAGGUGUUAAGAGACUGGAAAGGAAGGGUAACUUGCGUCCUGUUCAGCAAUUACUUCACAGUUGUUUGGAAUCUAAUUAGACCAUCACCAUUAGCAGUAAGUGGUUGACACCUAACCCUAUCAGGAAUGUGAUACCAGACUUCUUCAACUGAGGGUUAUAUUCAAAGCAGACUUUAAUUAUCCCAAUAAACAUACAAAUUUGUAUCAACAAGCAAGCAUUUUGUCUUACAUGGUUUGUGUAUGUAUCGCUAAUGGAAACGUGACUCCCUUAAAGCCUGUCCAUCUCAGGUUCUGAAGCAGUAAGAGAUUUUAUUUGGAUUAUUUUUGUUCUGUUUAGAUUAUUUGAAGCAUUUUACAAAACGUUUACACUUUCAGGGCUCAAGUGAUUGUGCGGAAUUUUUUCUGUAACAAAAAAGUGUCUUUUGUUACUGUCAAAACCCCAGCAUUUUACCCUUUCGUUUGUUUAAAUCCCUCCCCAGCCUUUAGGCUGACUGGCUGCUGUAUUUUACUUAUUUUUCUGGGGAGUUUUAGACUCUCCGUUGUGUUACUGCUUGAUUCUGUAGUAUUUGGCUGAGAGGCUUCUGAGCAGGUAUCUUAGUGAGGCAAGACAAGGAAAAGACGCUGACUCACUAACAUCUGGCAGGUCUGCUGGUGUAACAGCAACUACCACAUGGCUGUACAAACCUCCUGGAGAAACGACAAUGUUCCAAACCUAUGUCUCCAGUGGGCUUUUUGCUUUGGUGUAGAGCUAAUUUAGAUUUGAAUAUACGUUGUAAUGACUGAAAAAUCAGAAAGUACAAGAAUGGUUUGUGGGACAGACAGGAUCAGCUGCUUUUUGUUUUUAAGCAGAUCUAUCCAAGACAGUACGAAACAGAUUUUUUUAAUGUACGUAGGUUCCUGAGAAUGGUGUCAGUGGGAAGAAGGUUGCUGAGCUUCCUGAAACUUAGUAGGCUUUUAUAUUUUUAUCUGUAUCUCUUAAAAAUGUUUGCAAAAUGUCUGCCCUUAAAUGAUAUGCUUAAGAGAUUAUUAAAAUGAAUAGUAGUAAAUUUGAAAAAAUGCUGAGUUACCUCUUUUAUGGUUUUGCAUGUUCCCUGAAGGAGAAAAGAGGUGGUUAGUGAUACUGGUAAAUUAGUAGUCACUAUUUAGUUUCUGUGCAUUAGACAUUUUGAGGUUUUUAAUUGCAGAUACAAAAUCUUGACUUCUGAUAAUUUUAACUUCACUUCAGCACAGGAAUGGGGCACUAAUUGUACCUGUUUUCAGUCACGGCAAUCAUUCUGUCACUUCAACUGUUAGGAUGUUUUGGAGGAGAUUUCUGAUCUGAAUAUAACUCUAGGGAGCAGAUUCUUUUGCCAUUUUCUUUGUAAGCAGAGAUUUCAAGUGUUAAGAGGCAAAAAGGGGGUCACUAAAAACUGUUAGUGUGCUCUUAUAGUCACAGAGAAAUACUGAAUUGUACAUGACUGCUUGGCAAAGCUUGUAUUUUUUUAAUGUACCUUGUAUGUUAUAAUUUCUUAGUAUCUUCAGAUCUUCCCUUAAAUUCCCAGAUUUUGGGCCCAGAAGCUGCUCUUUACUUUGGGAGGCAUCCUACGUGCUGUCAAAUUCCCCAUUCUAUUCUCCACCUUGUUCUCUUGCUCUUACUAUUUACACUUGUGAAUACAUCCUUGAGAAGUGCUCUGUGUGCAUGCAGACUAUAGGCUAAAAAGAGUAAAAGGACUGGCAGCAUCAACUACAGGCAUGUCUUUGGACACAAAGUCUACCUUUGAUGGAGAAUCCAUUCAACUCUGGACCUUGUAAUGAAGAAAAAGAGGUUGCCAGCUAACAGCAGCUGUUAGCGGCACGACCCCAGGUAAAAUAAUCUUUAAUCUGUUAAUCUUUAAGCUGUUGGGGGCCUGGAGACAACAUCUCCCAGUUCACACACUACCACUGAGACCUGUUACCCCUGUAUUUGUUAGGUCUUGGGUGAACACUGGAAUGCCAUCACUGGCACUGGUGACAAGCACGCUGGUCCUUUGGUAUCUGCGGAAACCCAAGAAAAAAGCCAGGAACAACACAGAUCUGUCCCUGUUCUCGGUUCUCCAGCACCAGCCUUGGCACAGGUUGCUGUAGUGUUUCUGGUUUUCAUAUUAGCAUCUUGACCUUCUUCCUCUUUUGCUUUUUUCCCUCCAUUUACCCUCCUCAUAGGAAGAUGAACUCACCAUAGUUUUAUUACUAUGCUGGCUGAUGUAGAAUGGGUUUCAUCUUGGUUUUGGCAGAACUCUUCCAAUUUGAUCAAAGUAGUUUUGGAAAACUGCAGAUGAACUUGUAAGCGCAGGAAAUCCUGACAAGAUGGUAGUGUACCUGCUUCUGUGGCAGUUUCCUCUGACAGACAAAUUGGCCAUUGUUCCAUUUCUUUCCCAUUCAUCGUCAUUUGGGUUCCCUUGCUACCCACACAAGAGGGAACAACGGUUUCCCUUGAGUUUGAAACUCCUAGUUAAAAGCAGUUGUUUGUCAGUGAGUGUGUUCUGCCCCAGAUAAGUAUUUCUGGUAGCAAAAUCUUCAGUGCACCAGACUGAUAUACUUAUUUUUUUAAUUUAAAAGCAAGUAUUAAAGAAAAACAGAAGCUAAUUUUGCAAAUAUAUCCUGAAAACCAUUAAACCACUCAAAUUUGUAGGAAUAUCAGUCAAGCGCUGCUUGGACAUCAGGUUAUGUGCUGUUAUAUCUGUUGAAGGAUCAGAGCUUUAGUCUGCAAGAUCUACAGAGGCUCAAAGGUGCGAUUUAAUCAGCUUCAGUGAAUUUGGGAUGAAUUUGCUUCAUAAAGUAUGGCGCAGUGGAAGCCUGCAGAGCUCUUUCCUGCUCCCCUCUCUUCCUCCUGUGAUGAUAUCCAUUGCUAAUGUGCUAAGGGAACUGGCGAUGUGGUGCUUUUUAGUUAAGCUGUUUAUAGGCCUCCUAAUGCUAGUUAUAUGGUUGUCAUGGUGGAUGGGACAGCAGAGUUACCACACUCAGUCUAGGGGAAAAUCGUCUCUUCAACACAACUGUUUAUGGUCCCAUGAAACUACAGCAAAAGAACACGAUGCAAGUUCAGAACAGCACAUGAAUGCAGUCCUUAUAUAGCAACUAUGCCUUUUGUUACAGUUACAUAUUUAUUCAGUACUUCCCUUUCUUAUUUGCUCUCAGUUUGGAAAUAAACUUUCUUUAAAAACAAUUGUGUU